rnacentral:rRNA from 1 species
CCGCCGGCGACCGGCGCACGGGUGAGUAACACGUAUGCAACCUGGCCGUGACAGAUGGAUAACCGGGAGAAAUCCCGCCUAAUACAACAUAAUGCCGGGAGGGGACAUCCCCUGCCGGCAAAGGGGGCGACCCCGGUCACGGAUGGGCAUGCGGCGCAUUAGGUAGUUGGUGGGGCAACGGCCCACCAAGCCGACGAUGCGUAGGGGUUCUGAGAGGAAGGUCCCCCACAUUGGAACUGAGACACGGUCCAAACUCCUACGGGAGGCAGCAG